UACGGAGGGUGCGAGCGUUGUCCGGAAUCACUGGGCGUAAAGGGCGCGUAGGCGGCCUGAUAAGUAGGGGGUGAAAUCCUGCGGCUUAACCGCAGGGCUGCCUUCUAAACUGUCAGGCUAGAGCACAGUAGAGGCAGGUGGAAUUCCCGGUGUAGCGGUGGAAUGCGUAGAGAUCGGGAAGAACAUCAGUGGCGAAGGCGGCCUGCUGGGCUGUUGCUGACGCUGAGGCGCGAAAGUGUGGGGAGCGAACAGG
rnacentral:rRNA from 1 species